UACGGAGGGCUCAAGCGUUGUUCGGAUUCAUUGGGCGUAAAGGGUGCGUAGGCGGCGCGGCAAGUCGGGCGUGAAAUCUCGGAGCUUAACUCCGAAACUGCAUUCGAUACUGCCGUGCUUGAGGACUGGAGAGGGGACUGGAAUUUACGGUGUAGCGGUGAAAUGCGUAGAUAUCGUAAGGAAGACCAGUGGCGAAGGCGGGUCUCUGGACAGUUCCUGACGCUGAGGCACGAAGGUCAGGGGAGCAAACGGG
rnacentral:rRNA from 1 species